AGCAGCCGCGGUAAUUCCAGCUCCAAUAGCGUAUAUUAAAGUUGUUGCAGUUAAAAAGCUCGUAGUUGAACUUCGGGGUCUACCCAUUGGUCAGGCUUAAUUGUCUGCACUGGUGGGAUGGAUCUCUACCUUCUGAGGAACUUUCAUGCCAUUUAUUUGGUGUGAUUGGAAAUCAGGACUGUUACUUUGAAAAAUUGAGUGUUUAAAGCAGACUAUCGUCUGAAUACAUUAGCAUGGAAUAAUGAAAUAGGACGGACUGAUUCUAUUUCGUUGGUUUCUAGGAUCACCGUAAUGAUUAAUAGGGAUAGUUGGGGGCAUUAGUAUUCAAUUGUCAGAGAUGAAAUUCUUGGAUUUAUUGAAGACUAACUACUGCGAAAGCAUUUGCCAAGGAUGUUUUCAUUAAUCAAGAACGAAAGUUAGGGGAUCGAAGACGAUCAGAUACCGUCGUAGUCUUAACCAUAAACUAUGCCGACGUAGGGAUCGGACGAAGUUAAUUUAUAAUGACACGUUACGG
rnacentral:misc_RNA from 1 species